AACCAGCACCUCGAGUGGUCAGGAGGUUUAUUGGGCCUAAAGCAUCCGUAGCCGGUUGCAUAAGUUUUCGGUUAAAUCUAUGCGCUCAACGUAUGGGCCGCCGAAAAUACUGUGCAGCUAGGGAGUGGGAGAGGUACACGGUACUCGAUAGGAAGGGGUAAAAUCCUUUGAUCUAUUGAUGACCACCUGUGGCGAAGGCGGUGUACCAGAACACGUUCGACGGUGAGGGAUGAAAGCUGGGGGAGCAAACCGG
rnacentral:rRNA from 1 species